rnacentral:rRNA from 1 species
CCUACGGUAGGCAGCAGUGAGGAAUAUUGGUCAAUGGGCGUAAGCCUGAACCAGCCAAGUCGCGUGAGGGAUGAAGGUUCUAUGGAUCGUAAACCUCUUUUAUAAGGGAAUAAAGUGCGGGACGUGUCCCGUUUUGUAUGUACCUUAUGAAUAAGGAUCGGCUAACUCCGUGCCAGCAGCCGCGGUAAUACGGAGGAUCCGAGCGUUAUCCGGAUUUGUUGGGGUUAAAGGGUGCGUAGGCGGCCUUUUAAGUCAGCGGUGAAAGUUUGUGGCUCAACCAUAGAAUUGCCGUUGAAACUGGGAGGCUUGAGUAUGUUUGAGGCAGGCGGAAUGCGUGGUGUAGCGGUGAAAUGCUUAGAUAUCACGCAGAACCCCGAUUGCGAAGGCAGCCUGCCAAGCCAUGACUGACGCUGAUGCACGAAAGCGUGGGGAUCAAACAGGAUUAGAUACCCCGGUAGUC